rnacentral:rRNA from 1 species
GCAGAAAGCAAAGGUGAUUAAGCCUACCCCCAACCCCAUCUGAUCUCAGAAGCUAAGCAGGGUCGGGCCUGGUUAGUACUUGCAUGGGAGACCGCCUGGGAAUACCAGGUGCUGUAGGCA